GUAGGUGAACCUGCGGAAGGAUCAUUAAUGGGAUUGACCUUUAAGGUCUAACCUUCAACCCUUUGUCUUAACAACCCUUGUUUCUUUGGCGGGUUCGCCCGUCAGAAGAAUUCUCAAACUCAUAUAAAUUAUGUCUUCUGAAAUCAAAAAACAAAUAAAAUUAAAACUUUCAACAACGGAUCUCUUGGUUCUG
rnacentral:misc_RNA from 1 species